GUUGAGUACUUCACUCGUUUCAAAACAAACGUUUGACCGUUCAUUUUAUUUAAAAAAAAUUAUGAUUAUUUUUUUAUUAUUAGAUGGUAAAAUAUAAAUAGUAUUUUAUGUGUGACUAUUUUUUAAAUUUUUUUAAAUAAAAUAAACGGUUAAACGUUGAACACGAAUACUUACGACAUCACUUAUU
rfam:Oryza sativa (indica cultivar-group) chromosome 9, whole genome shotgun sequence.